rnacentral:rRNA from 1 species
UACGUAGGUGGCAAGCGUUGUCCGGAAUUAUUGGGCGUAAAGCGCGCGCAGGCGGUCCUUUAAGUCUGAUGUGAAAGCCCACGGCUCAACCGUGGAGGGUCAUUGGAAACUGGGGGACUUGAGUGCAGGAGAGAAGAGUGGAAUUCCAGGUGUAGCGGUGAAAUGCGUAGAUAUCUGGAGGAACACCGGUGGCGAAGGCGGCAUCCUGGACCGGUAUUGACGCUGAGGAGCGAAAGCCAGGGGAGCAAACGGG